UUAUUAUUAUUAUUAUUUUUUUGGUAGGAUGUAUCUGCUUAAAAACCAUUGAACAAAAUGAGGGAAUAUCUUUGAUUUUGAGGGAAAUAGUUCUAUCUCAUUUGGACAACUGAAAUGGAACAUUCAUUUUUCAGAAAAUUGUUGGUACUUAGUCUUAAGUCUUCAAUAAAAAGUUGUUGACAAAGAAUGGUUUAAUAUUUUGAACUGGAAGAAUAAGGAGUUCUUCACUAACAAAUGCUUUAAAGUUGAAUUUUCUAAAUACAGAAAUAUUUCCUGGUGAAGGGAAUACUUUACAGGUUGAGUGAUGCAGUUUAUGUUCUUAUAGGCAUUGCCUGAGUCCUAAUUGGUGACCUGAGCUCAUCAUGGAGAGAAUGACCUCUUUGCAACUAUUAUUCUUCCUUUAGCCAUUCUAGUAGUGUGAAACUUUAUAAGGAAUUUUAUAUGCCGCCACUAUAGGUAUAUUUUGGUUUUUGGUUAAAUUAAAGUAUUUUGGGUGUAAGAAUCUUGGGUUGACAUAAAUAAGUAUAUGCUAGUGCUGACUGCUGAGCUAUGUUUAUGUUGUUUAACUGUUUCCCAUAAUGAAGUUGUUUUAGGAAGUUAUAUAUAUGCAUUCAUGGUGAAUAAACAUAACAGAUAAUUGUCUUUGUUCCAGAUGUAUUCUUCCCUGAGAAAAAUCAUGUCUUUGCCAGAUGAUACAAAUAU
rnacentral:misc_RNA from 1 species